GUUACCGCGAAACUCUACUUGAUCCUGGCUGUUGUGGGAGGAGGAAAUAACGUAGAGACCCAGUUUCAUGAUGUGAUAAGAGGAUUUUGGAGGUUUGUUUCCUACAUUUCCCAGAAUGCCAUUCAACAAUCCCAGAGGACACACAGUAUGUCAACGUCACACCACUGCAAACAAAAAUGCCAUUCAAUAAUCCCAGAGGACACACAGUAUGUCAACGUCACACCACUGCAAACAAAGUGAGUAAAUUAAUA